GUUUUAGUAGUUUAUAUUAAAAUAUUGGUCUUGUAAACCAAAGUAGAGAUUUAAUUCUCCUUAAACU
rnacentral:tRNA from 1 species